rnacentral:rRNA from 1 species
UGAGGAAUAUUGGUCAAUGGGCGCAAGCCUGAACCAGCCAAGUAGCGUGCAGGAAGACGGCCCUAUGGGUUGUAAACUGCUUUUAUACGAGAAUAAUNUGAUGCACGUGUGCGUUAUUGCAUGUAUCGUAUGAAUAAGGACCGGCUAAUUCCGUGCCAGCAGCCGCGGUAAUACGGAAGGUCCAGGCGUUAUCCGGAUUUAUUGGGUUUAAAGGGAGUGUAGGCGGUUUGUUAAGCGUGUUGUGAAAUUUAGAUGCUCAACAUUUAACUUGCAGCGCGAACUGUCAGACUUGAGUACACGCAACGUAUGCGGAAUUCAUGGUGUAGCGGUGAAAUGCUUAGAUAUCAUGAAGAACUCCGAUUGCGAAGGCAGCAUACGGGAGUGUAACUGACGCUUAAGCUCGAAGGUGCGGGUAUCGAACAGGAUUAGAUACCCUGGUAGUCCGCACAGUAAACGAUGGAUGCCCGCUGUUGGCGCCUGGUGUUAGCGGCUAAGCGAAAGCAUUAAGCAUCCCACCUGGGGAGUACGCCGGCAACGGUG